rnacentral:rRNA from 1 species
GACGAACGCUGGCGGCGUGCUUAACACAUGCAAGUCGAACGGAAAGGCCCUGCUUUUGUGGGGUGCUCGAGUGGCGAACGGGUGAGUAACACGUGAGUAACCUGCCCUUGACUUUGGGAUAACUUCAGGAAACUAGGGCUAAUACCGGAUAGGAGCUCCUGCUGCAUGGUGGGGGUUGGAAAGUUUCGGCGGUUGGGGAUGGACUCGCGGCUUAUCAGCUUGUUGGUGGGGUAGUGGCUUACCAAGGCUUUGACGGGUAGCCGGCCUGAGAGGGUGACCGGCCACAUUGGGACUGAGAUACGGCCCAGACUCCUACGGGAGGCAGCAGUGGGGAAUAUUGCACAAUGGGCGGAAGCCUGAUGCAGCAACGCCGCGUGCGGGAUGACGGCCUUCGGGUUGUAAACCGCUUUCGCCUGUGACGAAGCGUGAGUGACGGUAAUGGGUAAAGAAGCACCGGCUAACUACGUGCCAGCAGCCGCGGUGAUACGUAGGGUGCGAGCGUUGUCCGGAUUUAUUGGGCGUAAAGGGCUCGUAGGUGGUUGAUCGCGUCGGAAGUGUAAUCUUGGGGCUUAACCCUGAGCGUGCUUUCGAUACGGGUUGACUUGAGGAAGGUAGGGGAGAAUGGAAUUCCUGGUGGAGCGGUGGAAUGCGCAGAUAUCAGGAGGAACACCAGUGGCGAAGGCGGUUCUCUGGGCCUUUCCUGACGCUGAGGAGCGAAAGCGUGGGGAGCGAACAGGCUUAGAUACCCUGGUAGUCCACGCUGUAAACGGUGGGUACUAGGUGUGGGGUCCAUUCCACGGGUUCCGUGCCGUAGCUAACGCUUUAAGUACCCCGCCUGGGGAGUACGGCCGCAAGGCUAAAACUCAAAGGAAUUGACGGGGCCCCGCACAAGCGGCGGAGCAUGCGGAUUAAUUCGAUGCAACGCGUAGAACCUUACCUGGGUUUGACAUGGAUCGGGAGUGCUCAGAGAUGGGUGUGCCUCUUUUGGGGUCGGUUCACAGGUGGUGCAUGGCUGUCGUCAGCUCGUGUCGUGAGAUGUUGGGUUAAGUCCCGCAACGAGCGCAACCCUUGUUCACUGUUGCCAGCACGUUAUGGUGGGGACUCAGUGGAGACCGCCGGGGUCAACUCGGAGGAAGGUGGGGAUGACGUCAAGUCAUCAUGCCCCUUAUGUCCAGGGCUUCACGCAUGCUACAAUGGCUGGUACAGAGAGUGGCGAGCCUGCGAGGGUGAGCGAAUCUCGGAAAGCCGGUCUCAGUUCGGAUUGGGGUCUGCAACUCGACCUCAUGAAGUCGGAGUCGCUAGUAAUCGCAGAUCAGCAACGCUGCGGUGAAUACGUUCCCGGGGCU